rnacentral:lncRNA from 1 species
UAAUAAAGAAUUGUACUUUCUUCAGAACUCGGCUUCUGGACUGUGGGUUCCAGCAAAGUAAAGGUCUUUGCUGCCAGCACUAUGCCUUUGACUAUUUUCUGGGUGAGUCCACACUUGCACAGAGUGGGGAUUUUCCUGGAUAUAGGUAUGAGGUUCAUUUCUUUUUAUGAUGUUAGUGAUGGGUGCCAUAUCUACACAUUCAACAAAAUUUCUGUUAGGGAGCCGCUGCGUCCAUUUUUUGCUCAUAAACGUGAAACUCAAGAUGAUCAGAGCUUCCUGAAUAUCUUUCCUGUAAUGGAUCCAGACAGUGCCAGUCCCCUAGUUUAUUCUGGGGAAAGUAAAUAA